rnacentral:rRNA from 1 species
AGAACGAACGCUGGCGGCGCGUCUUAAGCAUGCAAGCCGAACGGCAAGAGGUAGCAAUACCUCCUAGAGUGGCGGACUGGUGAGUAACACGUGGGUGACAUACCCUUCAGAUGGGGAUAGCUAUUAGAAAUAGUAGAUAAUACCGAAUACGAGCACAGGGGUUAGAGAUCUGUGAGGAAAGGAGCUAAGGCUCCGCUGAAGGAAUGGCCUGCGGCCCAUUAGCUAGUUGGUGAGGUAAGAGCCACCAAGGCGAUGAUGGGUAUCCGGCCUUAGAGGGUGAACGGACACAUUGGGACUGAGAUACGGCCCAGACUCCUACGGGAGGCAGCAGCUAAGAAUAUUCCGCAAUGGACGAAAGUCUGACGGAGCGACGCCGCGUGGAUGAAGAAGGCCGGAAGGUUGUAAAAUCCUUUUGAAACUGAAGAAUAAGCGUUGUAGGGAAUGACAGCGUGGUGACAGUAGGUUUUGAAUAAGCAACGGCUAAUUACGUGCCAGCCGCCGC